CAAAAAAAUCAUCCAUCUUCUAAACUAAUCUUGAAAUCCAACGAAAGCUAAUGAGCAAUUUCAAUAAGACAGAAGGAACAAGCUAGCAGACCUAGACAGCUGCACUUCCUCAUCAAUUAUAUAACUUAAAACUUAAACUUUCGGUUCUAAUAGAAUUAUCAACAGGCACAUAGGAUCGAGUGGAUUCAAAAGGGAUAUCCAGGCGGCCAACGGAUUAAAGCACAACACCUACUGCUGAAAUAUCGCAUGCUCAGGGGUUAGGCAUCCAUAUUUAGGCCUUAGUUACACAAAAUUUCAGAAGGGUGAACUUCCUUAAGUUGCAGGCCUUCAUUUCCUUACACAUUUCAAAUAAACCGAAGAACAACUACCAUUAACCAAGCAACUCAUAAACAGAAACUACUUUGUUCUACCUUUACACCAAAAGAAAACUACUUAACUACAGUCUAAGGCUUCAGCCAAUCUGGUAACCAAAAUCUAAUAUACUGAAUACAACUUUUCCAGCUACAUAUAUUUAAAAAAAACGAAGGACAGGAAUUAAGAGCAAAAGAAAAAGGCCAAAUAUGAGCAGAUGUUAUGGCUAUUAACCACAGUUCUUGACUUCCUUUUUUGAUUCCCAAGUCCAAAUUGUACAUUAAGUAAAGUGCAGAAACAUGUACCUGAAAGAAUGUAAUCAAAAUGAGGUUCAACAGUUGAAAAAGCAGUAGCAACACAGUAGGGUUCAAAUCAGCAACCGGUUUCGAACAGAAAUUGAAGUGAGAAUAAUUCUGUGACUUGUUAGUCAAGUCAUAAUGUCAAAAUUAAAACCAGCCCCUACUAGAAGCUUCUAGGAGCUUCAAUAAGCAGUUAGAACAAAAUUCUCUAAGUAGUCUUCCCAAUUUACCCCUAAAUGGCCUUGUAUUUUACCUUGCCGGACCAGAGUGGAUCAAAUUGACCGAAGGCAACAUCAAAUCAAGGCUUAAUGACUUGGCUAGAGUCCAAUGUUCAAUUUGGCCUUGGUGAUUUCAUAAUAUCCCCACUUGAACCAGGAAACUAAUCCGAUUUCUUCAACGGAAAAAGAAAUAACCCGGCCAUCUUCUUUUAAAAAAAAUAAAGGUAUCCAUAAGAGAAGAAGAAGAGACCCAAUUACCAACACUAAUUAGGCUAAAUUAAUUGUUAAGUUAAUCAUGCCAACAGAAUUAUAGAAGAAAUUGAUGCAUAAAGAAAACAGAAAGAAUUUAACCAAACAUGCAGUG
rnacentral:lncRNA from 1 species